rnacentral:misc_RNA from 1 species
GAUGAAGAACGUAGCGAAAUGCGAUAAGUAAUGUGAAUUGCAGAAUUCAGUGAAUCAUCGAAUCUUUGAACACACAUUGCGCCCCUUGGUAUUCCGAGGGGCAUGCCUGUUCGAGCGUCAUUAUAACCCCUCAAGCUCAGCUUGGUGUUGGGGCCUGCUGCACUGGCAGCCCUUAAAAUCAGUGGCGGCGCCAUCUGGCUCUAAGCGUAGUAAUUCUUCUCGCUAUGGAGUCCUGGUGGAUGCUUGCCAUCAACCCCCAAUUUUUCUAUGGUUGACCUCGGAUCAGGUAGGGGUACCCGCUGAACUUAAGCAUAUCAAUAAGCGGAGGA